GGAGGAGCCGGGGAGGAGCCGGGGAGGAGCAAUAAUUAAGAAUAACAAGAAUAAUAAGAAUCAAAUCUUGUCCGGCUUGCAGUAAGAAAGAAUGACAGUCCCCCAACAGGAACAAAGGACAGAUCUGAGCUCACCAAGAGGACACAGUGAGGAAGGAGAGAAGAUAAAAAGCAUCCAAGCAUUCUAAAGAUGCAAAGGAACUGUGAUGUAUAUACCAGUGUCUGAUAAGGCCCUGUUCAUUCUUUGGAGACGAUAACGCCCUGUGUUCGGUCUGGUCUGUGCUGAACAGAUGUGUCUGGUGUGAUCACCUCUGUUUGCAGCCUUUCCCAUCUCAAAUACCAGGGAGCAAGGCAGCUGAAAAAAGUGAGGAAUGUGUUUGCCACAAGCAUUGCGCUGUUUCAUGAGGAGAGCAUGCUACCAUAGAACACACCAGUAGAAAAAGGGGCUUUGACUUCAUUUCCCUCUUUGAGCAGAAGCCUUGCCUACUCUACUGGUUGCCAGUGGCAAAUCCUGGAAAAUUAGCAAAGCACAUCUGUAUUUCUUGGAAUGAAAGAAGAAUGGUUUAAUCGAAAUAUCUGUGACUCAGACCAAUCAGGAAGUGCUUUGGAACUGUUUGCACAACUGUUUGCACUGCUCUGAGGUAAAAUUGAUUAAUGUUCAUUCAAAAGCAUCCCACAAGCCUUCCCACACUUGCACCUUUCCCAUAGCUAGGAUUUUAAACACAAAAGGAUUUCCGAAUUUUCAAUCAACUUCAGAUUCAUACACUUUCUAUACACCUUCCUGUUUGGUUAUCCAAAUCACAAGAACCAAAUAAGCACAGGUAGAAACAAUUUCAGUUAUUACGUCAGAAAUUAAUCUGUGUAAGUCUCAUCUGAGACUAGAAGGCUAAUAAGGAAAGCUGCAAAGCCUAUUAAGCACCAGCUUCUGUUGCCUUCAUUCUCAUAUCUGAUCACUUAAACACUAUGAACUUAAAAUAUCCCUAAGAAACAUUCUCAGUUUUAAAUUUAGGAAAAGCAAGCCUCAAGAUUAAACAAAAUCAUGCAGAUUAUCUACUACAUAGACCUUUAAGGGCUACAGGAGCUGUAACUUGAAAAUACCUUCAUCUGAUUUGCCACAGUAAGGAGAAAGAGAGUAUUUUCAACUAAUCCUCAUAAAAGCAAAUGACUGUGGUUUGCACAGAGCUGAAAAAACAGCUGUACAGCAAAGAGUAUAUGAAUGAACAAAGGCAAGAGGGAGGUACCAGACACCUGGAGGGGUUCAAGGCCAGGCUGGAUGGAGCCUUGGGCAGCCUGAUCUAGUGGGAUGUGUCCCUGCCCAUGGCAGGGCGGUUGGAACUGGAUAAUCUUUAAGGUCCCUUCCAGCCCAAACUAUUCUAUGAUUCUAUGAUUUCCUAUACAUGUUUGAAGCAGGAAGUAGGGGGAAGAGGAAGAAGA